UACGUAGGGGGCGAGCGUUACCCGGAUUUACUGGGCGUAAAGCGCGUGUAGGCGGCUGGUCAAGCGUGGUGUGAAAUCUCCGGGCUCAACCCGGAAACUGCAUUGCGAACUGACCUAGCUGGAGUGCAGGAGAGGGCAGCGGAAUUCCCGGUGUAGCGGUGAAAUGCGUAGAUAUCGGGAAGAACACCAGUGGCGAAGGCGGCUGCCUGGCCUGUAACUGGACGCUGAGACGGCGAAAAGCGU
rnacentral:rRNA from 1 species